ACCAGCGUGGCUUAGCAGUUUGAGUGUUGGACUACAACUCUGGAGACCAGGGUUCAAUUCCCAGAUUGGCC